rnacentral:rRNA from 1 species
GUCUUUCUGGAAGAUUAGAAAGUCGGGCCUGCCCACUGAGGUGUUGAAGGGCCGCGGUAUUUUGACUGUGCAAAGGUAGCAUAAUCAUUAGUCUUUUAAUUGAAGGCUUGUAUGAAUGGUUUGACGAAGCGUAAACUGUCUUUUUAUAAAGUGUAUAAUUUAACUUUUGAGUUAAAAGGCUCAAAUAAAUGUAGAGGACGAGAAGACCCUAUAGAGCUUGAUAAUAUUAAUUAAGUAAUUUUGUGGAUAAAUUAUAGUUAUUUGGUUGAUAUUAUUUUGUUGGGGUGACAUGGAGAUAUAAUAAACUCUUUAAAAUAUAGAACAUAAAUGAAUGGUUGAUUGAUCCAGUAGUAUUGAUUAUUAGAUGAAGUUACCUUAGGGAUAACAGCGUAAUUUUUUUUAAGAGUUCAUAUCGACAAAAAAGAUUGCGACCUCGAUGUUGGAUUAAGAUAAUGACUGGGUGUAGUAGUUCAGUUAAUAGGUCUGUUCGACCUUUAAAUUCUUACA